rnacentral:rRNA from 1 species
UACGUAGGUGACAAGCGUUGUCCGGAUUUACUGGGCGUAAAGAGCGCGCAGGCGGUCGAUCAAGUCGAGUGUGAAAGCCCCCGGCUCAACUGGGGAGGGUCAUUCGAUACUGAUCGACUCGAAGGCAGGAGAGGGUAGUGGAAUUCCCGGUGUAGUGGUGAAAUGCGUAGAUAUCGGGAGGAACACCGGUGGCGAAGGCGGCCUUCUGGACGGAUACUGACGCUGAUACGCGAAAGCGUGGGGAGCAAACAGG